ensembl:snRNA U6 U6 spliceosomal RNA
AUGCUUGCUUGGGAGCACAUAUACUAAAAUUGGAACAAUACAGAGAAGAUUAGCACAGCCCCUGCACAAGGAUGACACGCAAAUCUGUGAGGCAGUCCAAAUUUUU